rnacentral:rRNA from 1 species
GAUGAACGCUAGCGGCAGGCUUAACACAUGCAAGUCGAGGGGUAUUUAUCUUCGGAUAGAGAGACCGGCGCACGGGUGCGUAACGCGUAUGCAAUCUACCUUUUACAGAGGGAUAGCCCAGAGAAAUUUGGAUUAAUACCUCAUAGUAUAUAGACUCGGCAUCGAGAUUAUAUUAAAGUCACAACGGGAAAAGUUGAGCAUGCGUCCCAUUAGCUAGUUGGUAAGGUGACGGCUUACCAAGGCGACGAUGGGUAGGGGGCCUGAGAGGGAGAUCCCCCACACUGGUACUGGGACACGGACCAGACUCCUACGAGAGGCAGCAGUGUGGAAUAUUGGACAGUGGGCGCGAGCCUGAUCCAGCCAUGCCGCGUGCAGGAUGGCGGUCCUAUGGAUUGUAAGCUGCUUUUAUACGAGAAGAAACACUGCUACGUGUAGCAGCUUGACGGUAUCGUAAGAAUAAGGAUCGGCUAACUCCGUG